CGCCGGCGACGCGGACGGGUGCGUAACGCGUAUGUAACCUACCUUUGACAGGGGGAUAACAUCGAGAAAUUGGUACUAAUACCCCAUAACAUCACCGGAGGCAUCUUCGGUGGUUGAAAACUCAGGUGGUCAGAGAUGGACAUGCGUUGUAUUAGCUAGUUGGUGAGGUAACGGCUCACCAAGGCGACGAUACAUAGGGGGACUGAGAGGUCAACCCCCCACAUUGGUACUGAGACACGGACCAAACUCCUACGGAAGGCAGCAG
rnacentral:rRNA from 1 species